GGGAAGGGGAGUGCAGCGCACCCCGGCGCCACUCACCUCCAGCCUCUCCUCGCGAGCCCCGGCUGGCAGCUCGCGGCGCCACUGCUCUGGGCUCCAGAGGGCGGGGCGGGCGCAGGGGGCGGAGCCGGCCGGGCUGGCAGCGCCAGAAUUAAACCCGGAGCGCGCGGCGGCCGGGCACUGACGGCCGCGGACGGUAGCUGCGCCCUGAAGCGAGCAGGAGUGUCCCGCGGGCCUGCGGUUAGGUCGGGCCGGGAGGAAGCCUAGGCUUACGCGGCGAUCUUUUGUACCCAGGAGCCGGCCGGCCCCAGUGCGCCUGCGCGCCGCUCAGCCUGCCGCGGACCCACGAGGCACCUAGGCGCACCUCCGCCCUGCAUGCUGUCCCCGAGUUGCAGUACUUACUCCCACCGCCCCGAGUGAAAACCAUGUCCCCAGUGAGACAGGUUGCAAUAAAAACCAAGUCAUAGUGGGUCUUGAGUAUGCUGCAGCUAGGAAUCUGGUGCCUGAGAAGGGACAUGGUAAUGAGAUUUAUGAGGAGGAAGUGAGGAAGAGACCCCUGGGCAAGAAGUCACCAACAUCGAACCAGACCUUCAGGACAGGUGGAAUUGGAGCAACCCUCUAGGUUACAGAUAGCAUGCUUGCCUGGCAAUCCUCAAAACCUCAUCAGGAAGGUGGGCAAAGUGAAAGGUUAAACACCAGAACCAACCCAUCUGAGUAAACCAAUGUGGAGGACUUCGGCUGUCUGCUACUAGGAUCUGGUUACAGAAGAACCUCUUAAUGAGUGCUGCAUUCAGAUUCGAGAGAGUUAUUAUUAUUGUCUGCACGAAUAAGUUCACCCAGCUCCUUUCACUCCCUGCCUUAGGUCAUUGGAAAGGCUAGUGACAGAUGCCAGGCAGAGGAAGUGAGCAGCGGUUCCCCUUCAGCCACAUGGUCACAAGAGGAAACACCAAUGUUCUCAGUAAACUGUGUUGCUAAGCUAGGGUGUUCAAUG
ensembl:lncRNA